rnacentral:tRNA from 1 species
GGAAUCGUGCCUGAACACCCAAGGACUACUUUGAUAGAGUACACCACAGGGGAGAAACCCCCCUCGAUUCCC